rnacentral:lncRNA from 1 species
CUCCCUCUCUCCCUCCCUUCCUACUAAAAACCAAUAAGGCUAGGGAGCCUAUCUGCAUAGUUCUGUGAAUGUCUCGGAACAAAGCAAUACACAGAAGCUAAUGCUCUCAUCCUGUGUAAGAUACAAAUCUUGUCACAUCAUGGACCAUCGUGGAGCAUGAAGCUAUUUCUAAUGUGAUGGGGGAAAUGUUUCUAGCAGAAGAGCAAGACAUGGUCCUGGUGCAUGAAAGGAGCCUAAGAAAGAAGAGUGAAAGCUGCACGUGUUCUACCUCCAGAAAGCCAUAAAAGAGAAAAGAAUGUUGUACCAAACUAAGCAAAUGAAGCAUGAAAUGAAAAGCCGGUUGAGCUGGGAGGUAUAAAGAAUGGAAAGGAAGCAGCUACCACCCCUGGUAACCCCAUCAAUCCGGAGAAGCUUCGCAGAGUUACACUGUGCUCUGUCGGGUAAGAUAUCUUAAAAGCCCACACGCUCCCAAGUUCCUCCUUUGCCCGUGUAUAGUGGUACCUGACACCCUCA